AUUGGACGCUGGCGGCAGGCUUAACACAUGCAAGUCGAGCGGAGAUGAGGUGCUUGCACCUUAUCUUAGCGGCGGACGGGUGAGUAAUGCUUAGGAAUCUGCCUAUUAGUGGGGGACAACAUUCCGAAAGGAAUGCUAAUACCGCACACGUCCUACGGGAGAAAGCAGGGGAUCUUCGGACCUUGCGCUAAUAGAUGAGCCUAAGUCGGAUUAGCUAGUUGGUGGGGUAAAGGCCUACCAAGGCGACGAUCUGUAGCGGGUCUGAGAGGAUGAGCCGCCACACUGGGACUGAGACACGGCCCAGACUCCUACGGGAGGCAGCAGUGGGGAAUAUUGGACAAUGGGGGGAACCCUGAUCCAGCCAUGCCGCGUGUGUGAAGAAGGCCUUAUGGUUGUAAAGCACUUUAAGCGAGGAGGAGGCUACUGAGACUAAUACUCUUGGAUAGUGGACGUUACUCGCAGAAUAAGCACCGGCUAACUCUGUGCCAGCCGCCGCCGUAAUAC
rnacentral:rRNA from 1 species